rnacentral:rRNA from 1 species
AACCAGCACCUCAAGUGGUCAGGAUGAUUAUUGGGCCUAAAGCAUCCGUAGCCGGCUCUGUAAGUCUUCGGUUAAAUCUGUACGCUCAACGUACAGGCUGCCGGGAAUACUGCAGAGCUAGGGAGUGGGAGAGGUAGACGGUACUCGGUAGGAAGGGGUAAAAUCCUUUGAUCUAUUGAUGACCACCUGUGGCGAAGGCGGUCUACCAGAACACGUCCGACGGUGAGGGAUGAAAGCUGGGGGAGCAAACCGG